rnacentral:rRNA from 1 species
UACGAAGGGGGCGAGCGUUGUUCGGAAUUACUGGGCGUAAAGGGCGCGUAGGCGGCCGAUCAAGUUAGAUGUGAAAGUCCUGGGCUUAACCUGGGGACUGCAUUUGAUACUGAUUGGCUUGAAUUCGGGAGAGGAUAGCGGAAUUCCCAGUGUAGAGGUGAAAUUCGUAGAUAUUGGGAAGAACACCGGUGGCGAAGGCGGUGAUCUGGGCCAGUACUGACGCUGAGGAGCGAAAGCGUGGGUAGCAAACAGG